rnacentral:rRNA from 1 species
AGAGUUUGAUCCUGGCUCAGGACGAACGCUGGCGGCGUGCCUAACACAUGCAAGUCGAGCGAGGAUAGAAAGCUUGCUUUUUAUCCUAGCGGCGGACGGGUGAGUAACGCGUGAGUAACCUGCCUUGUACAGGGGGAUAACAGAUGGAAACAUCUGCUAAUACCGCAUAAGACCACAUCACCGCAUGGUGGAGAGGUCAAAGGAGCAAUCCGGUACGAGAUGGACUCGCGUCCCAUUAGCUAGUUGGUAGGGUAAAGGCCUACCAAGGCGACGAUGGGUAGCCGACCUGAGAGGGUGAUCGGCCACACUGGGACUGAGACACGGCCCAGACUCCUACGGGAGGCAGCAGUGGGGAAUAUUGCGCAAUGGGGGAAACCCUGACGCAGCAACGCCGCGUGAGUGACGAAGGUUUUCGGAUCGUAAAACUCUGUCUUUGGGGAAGAAAAAAAUGACGGUACCCAAGGAGGAAGCCCCGGCUAACUACGUGCCAGCAGCCGCGGUAAUAC